UGGGGAAUAUUGCACAAUGGGCGAAAGCCUGAUGCAGCAACGCCGCGUGAGUGAUGAAGGCCUUCGGGUUGUAAAGCUCUGUCUUUUGGGANGAUAAUGACGGUACCAAAGGAGGAAGCCACGGCUAACUACGUGCCAGCAGCCGCGGUAAUACGUAGGUGGCAAGCGUUGUCCGGAUUUACUGGGCGUAAAGGAUGCGUAGGCGGAUUUUUAAGUGAGAUGUGAAAACCCUAAGCUUAACUUGGGGACUGCAUUUCAUACUGGAAAUCUAGAGUGCGGGAGAGGAGAAUGGAAUUCCUAGUGUAGCGGUGAAAUGCGUAGAGAUUAGGAAGAACACCAGUGGCGAAGGCGAUUCUCUGGACCGUAACUGACGCUGAGGCAUGAAAGCGUGGGUAGCAAACAGGAUUAGAUACCCUGGUAGUCCACGCCGUAAACGAUGAGUACUAGGUGUAGGAGGUAUCGACCCCUUCUGUGCCGCAGUUAACACAAUAAGUACUCCGCCUGGGAAGUACGAUCGCAAGAUUAAAACUCAAAGGAAUUGAC
rnacentral:rRNA from 1 species